AACGAACGCUGGCGGCAUGCCUAACACAUGCAAGUCGAACGAGACCUUCGGGUCUUGUGGCGCACGGGUGCGUAACGCGUGGGAACCUGCCCUUAGGUUCGGAAUAACUCCCCGAAAGGGGUGCUAAUACCGGAUAAUGUCUUCGGACCAAAGAUUUAUCGCCUUUGGAUGGGCCCGCGUUGGAUUCGCUAGUUGGUAGGGUAAAAGCCUACCAAGGCGACGAUCCAUAGCUGGUCUGAGAGGAUGAUCAGCCACACUGGGACUGAGACACGGCCCAGACUCCUACGGGAGGCAGCAGUGGGGAAUAUAGGACAAUGGGCGAAAGGCUGAUCCAGCAAUGCCGGGUGAGUGAUGAAGGCCUUAGGGUUGUAAAGCGCUUUUACCCGGGAUGAUAAUGACAGUACCGGGAGAAUAAGCUCCGGCUAACUCCGUG
rnacentral:rRNA from 1 species